UUUUACGUAGGUGCUGCAUGGUUGUCGUCAGCUCGUGCCGUGAGGUGUCGGGUUAAGUCCCAUAACGAGCGCAACCCUACCCUUUAGUUGCCAUCAGGUAAUGCUGGGGACGUCUAAAGGAACUGCCUACGCAAGUAGUGAGGAAGGCGGGGAGUGACGUCAAAUCAGCACGGCCCUUACGUCCAGGGCUACACACGUGCUACAAUGGCCGAUACAGAGGGCAGCUACCUGGUGACAGGAUGCAAAUCUCCAAAGUCGGUCUCAGUUCGGAUCGGAGUCUGCAACCCGACUCCGUGAAGUUGGAUUCGCUAGUAAUCGCGCAUCAGCCAUGGCGCGGUGAAUACGUUCCCGGGCCUU
rnacentral:rRNA from 1 species